AACGCAGGUGGUUUGGUAAGUCAGGGGUGAAAGUCCACAGCUUAACUGUGGCACUGCCUUUGAUACUACCUUUCUUGAGUGCAUGAGGGGGAAGCGGAAUUCCGAGUGUAGAGGUGAAAUUCGUAGAUAUUCGGAGGAACACCGGUGGCGAAGGCGGCUUCCUGGCAUGUAACUGACACUCAUGUUCGAAAGCGUGGGGAGCAAAACAGGAUUAGAUACCCUGGUAGUCCACGCCCUAAACGAUGGGCACUAGGUGUGGGAGGUAUCGACCCCUUCCGUGCCGCAGCUAACGCAUUAAGUGCCCCGCCUGGGGAGUACGGCCGCAAGGUUGAAA
rnacentral:rRNA from 1 species